GACGAACGCUGGCGGCGUGCUUAACACAUGCAAGUCGAACGCUGAAGCUCAGCUUGCUGGGUGGAUGAGUGGCGAACGGGUGAGUAACACGUGAGUAACCUGCCCUCUUCUUUGGGUUAAGGCCCGGAAACGGGGGCUAUAACUGGAAAAUCAUUGAUCCUCGCAUGGGGGUGGGUGGAAAGGUUUUUUUUGGGGGGGGUGGGGCUCGCGGCCAAUCAGCUGGUUGGUGGGGUGAUGGCCUACCAAGGCUUUGACGGGUAGCCGGCCUGAGAGGGUGACCGGUCACAUUGGGACUGAGAUACGGCCCAGACUCCUACGGGAGGCAGCAGUGGGGAAUAUUGCACAAUGGGCGAAAGCCUGAUGCAGCGACGCCGCGUGAGGGAUGGAGGCCUUCGGGUUGUAAACCUCUUUCGCUCAUGGUCAAGCCGCAGCGUUGGGUUGUGGUGAGGGUAGUGGGUGAAGAAGCGCCGGCUAACUACGUG
rnacentral:rRNA from 1 species